GUGCAUUAGCUAGUUGGUGAGGUAACGGCUCACCAAGGCCACGAUGCAUAGCCGACCUGAGAGGGUGAUCGGCCACACUGGGACUGAGACACGGCCCAGACUCCUACGGGAGGCAGCAGUAGGGAAUCUUCGGCAAUGGACGAAAGUCUGACCGAGCAACGCCGCGUGAGUGAAGAAGGUUUUCGGAUCGUAAAACUCUGUUGUUAGAGAAGAACAAGGACGUUAGUAACUGAACGUCCCCUGACGGUAUCUAACCAGAAAGCCACGGCUAACUACGUGCCAGCAGCCGCGGUAAUACGUAGGUGGCAAGCGUUGUCCGGAUUUAUUGGGCGUAAAGCGAGCGCAGGCGGUUUCUUAAGU
rnacentral:rRNA from 1 species